CCAACCAAAGUGGAACUUGACAAACCACAAACUCUCGAGGAAACCAUCAAAGCUAUCGACGAACUCAAGCCAUGCAAAGCAGCUGGAUUCAACAGUAUUCCAUCAGAGAUCUGGAAGUAUGGAGAUGGUGAUCCAGCUGCAUGAGGACCAACUCGGCCAGAUCAGACUCAACAACGACCUGUCUGAGCUCUUCCCCAUCUUCAAUGGCGUGAAGUAGGGUUGUGUCCUGGCACCAACUCUCUUCAGCACCUUCUUCAGCAUGAUGCUCAGGCAGGCCACUGUAGACCUGGAUGGCGAGGAGGGGGUGUGCGUCAUACUGUCUGAACGGCAGCUUAUUCAACCAAUGGCGCCUUCAAGCCCACACCAAGACCCAGGGAAGGCUGAUGUGGGACCUCCUCUUCACAGAUGAUGCUGCUCUUGUCACCCACACCGAAAGAGCCUUGCAGUACAUCACGACCUUCUUUGCAGACACUGCUCUUCAGCAUCAAGGUCAGCCUCAAGAAGAUCGAGGUUCUUCACCAGCCCACUCCACAGGAAGCCUACCAUCCUGCCCUGUCGCAAUUGUCGAAACUGAGCGGGAGUCAGUCCAGCAGUUCACGUAUCCCUGCAGCAUCAUCUCAUCAGAUGCCAGAAUAAACAAAGAAGUGGACAACAGGCUUGCUAAAGCAAAUGGUGCCUUCGGUAGAAGGGUGUGGAAUAACAAGAACCUGAAGAACAAAACCAAGAUCCUUGUCUACCUAGCGGUAGUUCUCACCAUUCUUCUCUACAGCUCCAAGGUGUGGGUGACCUGCUGGAGCCACUUCUGACUGCUCAAGCACUUCCAUGAGUGUUGUCUCCGCACCAUCCUCAACAUCCACUGGAUUGACUUUGUCACAAAUGUUGAGGUCCUCAAACUGCCUGAGGUUACCAGCAUCGAAGCUGGAUUCCUGAAAUACUGACUUCCUGGGCCCGCCAUGUCCCAAGGAUGGAAGACCAUUGCCUAACAAAGAUCCUCUUGCAUGGUGAGCUCUCAUCUGGCCACAGA